GUGGGGAAUAUUGGACAAUGGGCGAAAGCCUGAUCCAGCCAUGCCGCGUGUGUGAAGAAGGUCUUCGGAUUGUAAAGCACUUUAAGUUGGGAGGAAGGGCAGUAAGUUAAUACCUUGCUGUUUUGACGUUACCGACAGAAUAAGCACCGGCUAACUUCGUGCCAGCAGCCGCGGUAAUACGAAGGGUGCAAGCGUUAAUCGGAAUUACUGGGCGUAAAGCGCGCGUAGGUGGUUUUGUAAGUUGGAGGUGAAAUCCCCGGGCUCAACCUGGGAACUGCCUCCAAAACUGCAUGACUAGAGUACGGUAGAGGGUAGUGGAAUUUCCUGUGUAGCGGUGAAAUGCGUAGAUAUAGGAAGGAAUACCAGUGGCGAAGGCGACUACCUGGACUGAUACUGACACUGAGGUGCGAAAGCGUGGGGAGCAAACAGGAUUAGAAACCCUGGUAGUCC
rnacentral:rRNA from 1 species